rnacentral:lncRNA from 1 species
CCGCCGUGCUCCAACGAUGGCACUACCGCCCGUGGCGGCGAUCCGCCUCGAGUUGGCUGUUUUCGGCCAUUUUUGGCCGAAUUCGGCCAAACUUGCAUUGGUUCCUGCGAUAAAACAACCCUAGGGCCCUCGGUGGGCCAAAAAAUCACGAAAAAUCGAGACUUACCGGCAGCGGAGCUCUCGGGUGCGGCGGCUUCUCCGGCGCGAGUCGCGGUUUGAUGUUUUGCUCCGGUCAACAUGUAGAGAAAAGGACGAUAAUCACAGUGGUGUAAAAAUUAGAUCGAACGGGAACCGGAAAGGGCCUCAUCGGAGGCAAAAAUUGAGGGAAGCCGCGGCGGCGC